rnacentral:rRNA from 1 species
UACGUAGGGUGCGAGCGUUGUCCGGAAUUACUGGGCGUAAAGAGCUCGUAGGCGGUUUGUCGCGUCGGGAGUGAAAACCUUGGGCUUAACUCAGGGCUUGCUUUCGAUACGGGCAGACUAGAGGUAUGCAGGGGAGAACGGAAUUCCUGGUGUAGCGGUGAAAUGCGCAGAUAUCUGGAGGAACACCGGUGGCGAAGGCGGCAUCCUGGACCGGCAUUGACGCUGAGGCGCGAAAGCCAGGGGAGCGAACGGG